ensembl:misc_RNA Metazoa_SRP Metazoan signal recognition particle RNA
GCCAGGCGUGGUGGCUCACGCCUGUAAUCCAAGCACUUUGGAGGUCAAGGUGGGUGGAUCACCUGAGGUCGGGAGUUCAAGACCAGCCUGACCAACAUGGUGAAACCCCGUCUUUA